GUCCACGCCGUAAACGAUGUCAACUAGCCGUUGGGAGCCUUGAGCUCUUAGUGGCGCAGCUAACGCAUUAAGUUGACCGCCUGGGGAGUACGGCCGCAAGGUUAAACUCAAAUGAAUUGACGGGGGCCCGCACAAGCGGUGGAGCAUGUGGUUUAAUUCGAAGCAACGCGAAGAACCUUACCAGGCCUUGACAUCCAAUGAACUUUCCAGAGAUGGAUUGGUACCUUCGGGAACAUUGAGACAGGUGCUGCAUGGCUGUCGU
rnacentral:rRNA from 1 species